AUGUAAUCUUUAUUUAUAAUUAUACGGAUUGUCGUGGGUUGUUUAAUUCCAAGAAAGGCAACAAUUAUAACAUUUGAAAACGUUCAUAAAUCGCUUUGAAAUUUAUAAUUUUGUUCAAUAAUAAACGUGGAAUAUUUCAAGACACCAGGUUUGAAUAAUAUGAAAAAGAUUGUGUGAUCGUCAAGCCAUGAGUACACCACCACUAUGCACCUUGCAUGCAACAGGAAACACAGGCACAUGUUUAUUGUGGAUUUUCGAAGACAAGCAUUCAGUAAGAGUUUGUUAUUGCAUGAAGCAGAUAAACAAUUGGAUGUCCAGUCAGAUUUGUUGGAAGAUUGGAUAACUAAAGUUGAUAAACUGGGGCAAACCUAAGCUGUAUAGAAGGUUGAGCAAAGAAAUACAUUGUGGGAAAUCAUUACUGAUUAGUUUGAACCCUGGUAACUGAAGCUAUAGCAACAUCACACUGAGAGAAAGCGUGGAAGUCAAAUUUUAACUAUAGAAAUGAAGAAAUGAACUUUGAGAAACAGACUAAUUUAUUUGAAUUAUGUAGUGUACAGUAAUACUGGUACUUGAAGCUUAGUGAACUCUGAUGAAUAGAGAUGAAGCAGAUAAAUUGUGGAAAGUCUAAAACCACAACAGACAUUUGUUGUGCAUUCAUAGAAUGAAUGAUUAUGAAUUGAAGUACUAUUUGCCAAGUGAAGUUUGUGAUGUAUUAAGUAAAGAAGUGUUGACCUUUUUAAAGUACUGAAGUUUUUGUCUGAUUCUGGACCUAGUUAAAAAGAAUGUUGGUCCAAUUCUGAACUUAAUUUAAAAGGUUGCUUCUUCUGGACUUAAAAUGACUUAUAGAUAAAAUUCUGAAUUUUAGUUAAAAUGUUGGUCCAAUUCUGGUCUGUAGAGUAGUGUAAAUUAUUGGUCCUAUUCUGGACUUAGUUAAGAUGUUGGUCCAAUUCUGAACUUUCAGUUAAAAUUCUGGAAUUAGUGUAAAUAACUGGUCCUAUCUUGGACUUAGUGUAAAAUAUUGGUCCAAUUUUGGACUUAGUGUACGUGUAAAUGGUUGAGUUCUAUUCUGGAAUAAUAUAAAAUUCAGGACUUAAUGUAAAUGGUUGAGUCCUAUUCUGGAAUAAUUUAAAAUUCAGGACUUAGUGUAAAUGGUUGAGUCCUAUUCUGGACUUUAAUAGUGUACAUAUACAGUAAAUGGUUGAGUCCUAUUCUGGACUUAGUUAAAUUAAUGUAAAUUGUUGAGUCCUAUUCUGGACUAAUUUAAAAUUCAGGACUUAAUGUAAAUGGUAGAGUCCUAUUCUGGACUUAUUAAAUAUUCUGGACUUAGUGUAAAUGGUUGAGUCCUAUUCUGGACUUAGUUAAAUUAAUGUAAAUUGUUGAGUCCUAUUCUGGACUAAUUUAUAAUUCAGGACUUAAUGUAACGGUAGAGUCCUAUUCUGGACUUAGUUAAAAUUCUGGACUUUAGUGUAAAUGGUUGAGUCCUAUUCUGGACUUAGUUAAAUUAAUGUAAAUUGUUGAGUCCUAUUCUGGACUAAUUUAUAAUUCAGGACUAAAUGUAAAUGGUAGAGUCCUAUUCUGGACUUAGUUAAAAUUCUGGACUUAGUAAAUAUUCAGGACUUUUAAUGUAACGGUAGAGUCCUAUUCUGGACUUAGUAAAUAUUCAGGACACAUUCUGGACUUAGUAAAUAUUCAGGACUUAUGUAAAUGGUAGAGUCCUAUACUGGACAUAGUUAAUAUUCUGGACUUCGUGUAAAUGGUAGAGUCCUAUUCUGGACUUAGUUAAAAUUCUGGACUUAGUAAAAUAUUCAGGACUUAAUGUAACGGUAGAGUCCUAUUCUGGACUUAGUUAAAAUUCUGGACUUGAAUAAAACUAAUUGCAACAACA